UACGGGGGGGGUAAGGGUUGUUCGGAAUUACUGGGCGUAAAGGGCUCGUAGGCGGCCAACUAAGUCAGACGUGAAAUCCCUCAGCUUAACUGGGGAACUGCGUCUGAUACUGGAUGGCUUGGAUUCGGGAGAGGAAUGCGGAAUUCCAGGUGUAGCGGUGAAAUGCGUAGAUAUCUGGAGGAACACCGGUGGCGAAGGCGGCAUUCUGGACCGAUAUUGACGCUGAGGAGCGAAAGCCAGGGGAGCAAACGGG
rnacentral:rRNA from 1 species